rnacentral:rRNA from 1 species
GACGAACGCUGGCGGCGUGCUUAACACAUGCAAGUCGAGCGGUAAGGCCCUUUCGGGGGUACACGAGCGGCGAACGGGUGAGUAACACGUGGGUGACCUGCCCUCAGCGCUGGGAUAAGCCUGGGAAACCGGGUCUAAUACUGGAUAUGACUCCAUGACACAUGUUGUGGGGUGGAAAGCCUUGUGCGGCUGAGGAUGGGCCCGCGGCCUAUCAGCUUGUUGGUGGGGUGANGGCCUACCAAGGCGACGACGGGUAGCCGGCCUGAGAGGGCGACCGGCCACACUGGGACUGAGACACGGCCCAGACUCCUACGGGAGGCAGCAGUGGGGAAUCUUGCGCAAUGGGCGAAAGCCUGACGCAGCGACGCCGCGUGAGGGAUGACGGCCU